rnacentral:rRNA from 1 species
AUUGAACGCUGGCGGCAGGCUUAACACAUGCAAGUCGAGCGGAGAUGAGGUGCUUGCACCUUAUCUUAGCGGCGGACGGGUGAGUAAUGCUUAGGAAUCUGCCUAUUAGUGGGGGACAACAUUCCGAAAGGAAUGCUAAUACCGCAUACGCCCUACGGGGGAAAGCAGGGGAUCUUCGGACCUUGCGCUAAUAGAUGAGCCUAAGUCGGAUUAGCUAGUUGGUGGGGUAAGGGCCUACCAAGGCGACGAUCUGUAGCGGGUCUGAGAGGAUGAUCCGCCACACUGGGACUGAGACACGGCCCAGACUCCGACGGGAGGCAGCAGUGGGGAAUAUUGGACAGUGGGCGGAAGCCUGAUCCAGCCAUGCCGCGUGUGUGAAGAAGGCCUUUUGGUUGUAAAGCACUUUAAGCGAGGAGGAGGCUACCUGGAUUAAUACUCUAGGAUAGUGGACGUUACUCGCAGAAUAAGCACCGGCUAACUCUGUGCCAGCCGCCGCCGUAAUAC